UUUAUGGAGAGUUUGAUCCUGGCUCAGAGUGAACGCUGGCGGCGUGCUUAACACAUGCAAGUCGAACGAGAACGGGCUAUAGCUUGCUAUAGUUGUCAGCUAAGUGGCGCACGGGUGAGUAAUGUAUAGGUAAUAUGCCUCUUACUAAGGGAUAACAAUUGGAAACGAUUGCUAAUACCUUAUACUCCUUAUUAACCUAAGUUAAUAAGGGAAAGAUUU
rnacentral:rRNA from 1 species